AAGUCGUAACAAGGUUUCCGUAGGUGAACCUGCGGAAGGAUCAUUAACACGUAUCCAAACGUUAAACAACCCCGUGAACAUACAACCUGCUCUGGUCGCCCGCUCGCAUGGACAAGCCCAGUAAAUCAAGCCCCGGAAAGUUUUUGAUUUGGGACCUCUGUGCGCGUGAGAAAAACUGACAGCGAUUCAUAGAAGCGGUAGGUCAAGUGACACGGCGUCCCCAAGUGACCAGUGAAUGAAAGUGUCGCUGGAGCGUCAAGGACGACUCUUCAAGAUUGCUGGCUUCCGUGUAUACCGAGCUAACACCGCUCCCUUCCGACAAUGGAUAUCUUGGUUCUC
rnacentral:misc_RNA from 1 species